CGAAAAUAGCUCAGUUGGUAGAGCACAACCUUGCCAAGGUUGGGGUCGCGGGUUCGAGUCCCGUUUUUCGCU
rnacentral:tRNA from 2 species